rnacentral:rRNA from 1 species
ACACAUGCAGUCGAGCGGCAGCGACAACAUUGAACCUUCGGGGGAUUUGUUGGGCGGCGAGCGGCGGACGGGUGAGUAAUGCCUGGGAAAUCGCCCUGAUGUGGAGGAUAACCAUUGGAAACGAUGGCUAAUACCGCAUGAUAGCUUCGGCUCAAAGAGGGGGACCUUCGGGCCUCUCGCGUCAGGAUAUGCCCAGGUGGGAUUAGCUAGUUGGUGAGGUAAGGGCUCACCAAGGCGACGAUCCCUAGCUGGUCUGAGAGGAUGAUCAGCCACACUGGAACUGAGACACGGUCCAGACUCCUACGGGAGGCAGCAGUGGGGAAUAUUGCACAAUGGGCGCAAGCCUGAUGCAGCCAUGCCGCGUGUAUGAAGAAGGCCUUCGGGUUGUAAAGUACUUUCAGCAGUGAGGAAGGGAGUAUCGUUAAUAGCGGUAUUCUUUGACGUUAGCUGCAGAAGAAGCACCGGCUAACUCCGUGCCAGCAGCCGCGGUAAUACGGAGGGUGCGAGCGUUAAUCGGAAUUACUGGGCGUAAAGCGCAUGCAGGUGGUUUGUUAAGUCAGAUGUGAAAGCCCGGGGCUCAACCUCGGAAUUGCAUUUGAAACUGGCAGGCUAGAGUACUGUAGAGGGGGGUAGAAUUUCACGCGUAGCGGUGAAAUGCGUAGAGAUCUG